UCGGGGAUAGUUUAAUGGUAAAACACCUGACUCUGGAUCAGGAAUUUGGGGUUCGAGUCCCUGUCCCCGAG
rnacentral:tRNA from 1 species